UCCCUGGUGGUCUAGUGUUUAGGACUCAGCACUUUCACUGCUGCGGUCUGGGUUCAAUCCCUGGUCUGGGAA
rnacentral:tRNA from 1 species